GAUGAACGCUGGCGGCGUGCCUAAUACAUGCAAGUCGAGCGAACGGACGAGAAGCUUGCUUCUCUGAUUUUAGCGGCGGACGGGUGAGUAACACGUGGAUAACCUACCUAUAAGACUGGGAUAACUUCGGGAAACCGUAGCUAAUACCGGAUAAUAUUUUGAACCGCAUGGUUCAAAAGUGAAAGACGGUCUUGCUGUCACUUAUAGAUGGAUCCGCGCUGCAUUAGCUAGUUGGUAAGGUAACGGCUUACCAAGGCAACGAUGCAUAGCCGACCUGAGAGGGUGAUCGGCCACACUGGAACUGAGACACGGUCCAGACUCCUACGGGAGGCAGCAGUAGGGAAUCUUCCGCAAUGGGCGAAAGCCUGACGGAGCAACGCCGCGUGAGUGAUGAAGGUCUUCGGAUCGUAAAACUCUGUUAUUAGGGAAGAACAUAUGUGUAAGUAACUGUGCACAUCUUGACGGUACCUAAUCAGAAAGCCACGGCUAACUACGUGCCAGCAGCCGCGGUAAUACGUAGGUGGCAAGCGUUAUCCGGAAUUAUUGGGCGUAAAGCGCGCGUAGGCGGUUUUUUAAGUCUGAUGUGAAAGCCCACGGCUCAACCGUGGAGGGUCAUUGGAAACUGGAAAACUUGAGUGCAGAAGAGGAAAGUGGAAUUCCAUGUGUAGCGGUGAAAUGCGCAGAGAUAUGGAGGAACACCAGUGGCGAAGGCGACUUUCUGGUCUGUAACUGACGCUGAUGUGCGAAAGCGUGGGGAUCAAACAGGAUUAGAUACCCUGGUAGUCCACGCCGUAAACGAUGAGUGCUAAGUGUUAGGGGGUUUCCGCCCCUUAGUGCUGCAGCUAACGCAUUAAGCACUCCGCCUGGGGAGUACGACCGCAAGGUUGAAACUCAAAGGAAUUGACGGGGACCCGCACAAGCGGUGGAGCAUGUGGUUUAAUUCGAAGCAACGCGAAGAACCUUACCAAAUCUUGACAUCCUUUGACAACUCUAGAGAUAGAGCCUUCCCCUUCGGGGGACAAAGUGACAGGUGGUGCAUGGUUGUCGUCAGCUCGUGUCGUGAGAUGUUGGGUUAAGUCCCGCAACGAGCGCAACCCUUAAGCUUAGUUGCCAUCAUUAAGUUGGGCACUCUAAGUUGACUGCCGGUGACAAACCGGAGGAAGGUGGGGAUGACGUCAAAUCAUCAUGCCCCUUAUGAUUUGGGCUACACACGUGCUACAAUGGACAAUACAAAGGGCAGCGAAACCGCGAGGUCAAGCAAAUCCCAUAAAGUUGUUCUCAGUUCGGAUUGUAGUCUGCAACUCGACUACAUGAAGCUGGAAUCGCUAGUAAUCGUAGAUCAGCAUGCUACGGUGAAUACGUUCCCGGGUCU
rnacentral:rRNA from 1 species